ensembl:lncRNA
GCGGCCUUUUAAAGGGGCAGCGCGCCUUUUCGGGGCUCCGGCUCCCCGCCCCAGCCCGGGCGCAGGUCCUGCGCGCCGCCCGCGAACUGCUGCGGGGGGCGAAGGAAGGCGCGCUCUUGGCUCAAUUUGACUAUUGUUCUUUUCCCGGCUGGGUCCCUAAUGAGUAAGAUGAGCUUCCGGGUGUCGCUUGAAAUCCCUUGGGUCUGCCUGCAAAUACGGCCUGUGUUAGGUGCGGUGGCAUUCCGAAUCAACGCGCGUCGCAACCUGAUUCUGUCCGACAGCUCCAGGAAGGGAGACCCUUUCCAGGGCCGAAAUUGGGCUCUUGUCUAACACUCGGAAAUGAAUCGUCCAAGGAGACACGUGUGCUGAUGAAGCAAGAGAUUUUAUUGGGAAAGGGCACCUGGGUGGAGAGCAGUAGGGUAAGGGAACCCAGGAGAACAGCUCUGUCAUGUGGCUAGCAGUCUCUGGUUUUAUGGUGAUGAGAUUAGUUUCCGGGUUGUUUUUAGCCAAUCACUCUGACUCAGUGUCCUUCCUGGUGGUGCAAGCCUCAUUUGGCCAAGAUGGAUGCCAGAGAGAAGGAUUCUGGGGGGGUGGUCAGACAUGUGGUAUCUCCUUUUGACCUUUCCCAAACUCUUCCGGUUGGUGGUGGCUUAUUAGUUCAGGGUUCCUUACCAGGACUCCUGUCCUAAAACAACCCAUGCAAAUGGUUACUAUGGUGCCUGGCCAGGGUGGAUGGUUUCAGUCAGUGUGCUUCCCCUAACAGUUCCAGUUCAAAGAGAUCAAGAACUAUAUUUCAUCUUUUCAUAUAUAUAAUCUAGCACAUCAUCUGGCCAAUAAUAUGUGUUUCCCAUGUCUGCUAAGUUAAAUUAAAAACUUACAUCACAGGCCCUGUCUAGGAAAUAAGGGUGUCAAAAAUGUGGAAGAGUCAAAGGGAUUUUCAGAGACUCUACCUGAAAAUAUAAACUCACACUAGAAAUGAAUGUGUCCACAUUAUCUUCAUCUAGAAUGGGACUCUGCUCACCUGGUCCCUGUGAUUUUUCAUCAUCUUGUAGGGACUUGCCCUGGGUCUAACCCUGGAUCAGAUCAUUUUUGGAAACUUCAUUGGCAAUUAAUCCACUGUAAGCAGUGGAAUGAUAGAUGCUGCUCUUGAUAUUCUGUGUUGAGUUGACAGCUUGUUACAGGCUGUUAUCUCCCUCCCUCCUUUGAGGUCUACACAUCAGGAAAGUGCUCCCAGAAGAAACUGAAGCUCCAGUAGUUCACCUGCGUGGCAGAUUGUUUACCACUGGGCCCCCUGGGAAACUUGAAGACUGGUGGACAAACUGUAUCAAUACAACAUCAACAUUAUAAUCUCCUAGGAAGAUCUCAGCUCAUACUGGCUUUGAUUUUCACCUGACCAGUGAAAGGAACUGUGACCACAGGCCAACAGAGAAGAAACUAGGAAUCGUUUCUCUUACUCUCAGUGAGUCAGCCCAACUUUGGAACCAACAAAGAAGCCUUCAGCCUCAAAAAGGAGAAAAGAAAAAGUGGUCAGGGAAAUGGAAACAAUCUAUCAUGGUAGAACAACUUUGUUGUUGUCAGGAGGAAGAGAGGCAACCACAAUUCAAGAGGGAAGAAGAUGGACUUAGAAGUGAAAGUCAUAAUAGUGACUUGGCUACCAACACGUGCUGCACUUGGUGCUGGCUUUCAAUCAUAGAUGAGACAUGAAACCUGUCCCUCCAGAAGAAUGAGAAUUAGAGCCGAUUUGUGGCUCCAUGAGAACUGGCUAAAGAAGAACUUAAAGAUCACUGGACUAGAGCAGAUGAUCCAGGGCACACCAGGAGAAAUAUGAACUCUGGCUGGUUCAAGGAGAAGAGAGAAAGAGGAAACAAAACCACAUUUUCCAAAGAGUGUUCGUUAGACCACGAUCCAGUAAUGUGUUCCAUGAAUAAAGUUUUCUUGGACAAACAGCUUAACAAACACUCCACAACACUGUCUUUGCUUGGUAUCCAGUGAGUAAAAAUUUCUGGAUAAUUUCUCAUUAUCAAAAGACAAAAUAUAUUAAAAUUUAUUUCUAAUUCCAACAAUGACUAUUGAUUCUCCAGCUGCACAAGAAGGAUCAGCCUUGCUUAGACUUUUCCACUCAUUGGUCCCAAGUUAUCCCCAGUUGAGUCACUCAGUCAUGUCCAACUCUUUAUGACUCCAUGGACUGCAGCACACCAGGCCUCCCUGUCCAUCACCAACUCCUGGAGCUUGCUCAAACUCAUUUCCAUCGAGGGUGAUACCACCCAACCAUCUCAUCCUCUGUGAUCCCUUUCUGCCUUCAAUCUUUCCCAGCAUCAAGGUCUCUUCCAAUGAGCUCAAAGGUCACUAUUAACCGAGAGAUAUAACACUCGGGGCUUUCCUGAUGGCUCAGCAGGUAAAGAAAUCCAUUGGGAAGCUAACACAGGAGCUGCAGAAGACGCGGGUUUGAUCCCUGGAUCUGGAAGAUCUCCUGGAGGCAGACUCAUGUGUGGAAGAAGAAGAGGGAGCAAUGAUCCCAGAAUGUAGACACUGAGAAACUGAGGUCCAUAAUCACAGAGUGACUUCUCCAG